GCCAGGUGUGGUGGCGCACACCUGUAAUCCCAGCGGCUUGAGGCUGAGACAGCAGUGGCAAGCCACUACACAACUAAGUGAGACUGUCUCUA
rnacentral:sRNA from 1 species